GACGUAGGGCGCGAGCGUUGUCCGGAUUUAUUGGGCGUAAAGAGCUCGUAGGCGGCUCGUUGCGUCAACCGUGAAAACCCGGGGCUUAACUUCGGGCUUGCGGUUGAUACGGGCGGGCUGGAGUUCGGUAGGGGAGACUGGAAUUCCUGGUGUAGCGGUGAAAUGCGCAGAUAUCAGGAGGAACACCGGUGGCGAAGGCGGGUCUCUGGACCGAUACUGACGCUGAGGAGCGAAAGCGUGGGGAGCGAACAGG
rnacentral:rRNA from 1 species